UCUCGAUAGCGUAAACGUUAAUUCAAAUUUGGAUGGAGUUGGAACGUUUGCGUACGUUUGCCGCUAGGGGCGCUGUUCCAACUGAAUACAAAUUUGAGUUACCUUUUACUCUAUCGA
rnacentral:pre_miRNA from 9 species